AUGCAAAAGCCCCAGUGCGUCCCCGCAGCACAAAGAGCCGUGGCUGCGCACGGGGCCGGCGCGGUCCGACGGCAGCGAGCGGCAGCGACCCCACAUUGUGCCCGGGGCUCGCUGGAGCACGACGCCCUGGGACGUGGGGCUGGGGGCCGGGGUGGGAUGGGAUGGAUCGGGGCUGGAAGCCGUUCCCUUGGUAACGGCGGGUCCCAGUUUCCACCAAUCGAUGUGGCGGUGCGGGCUGGGGGGGCUCGUGGCCUACAUAAGCGCCCGUCGGGCACCGCGCGCCCCGGCAGAUGCGAAACGAUGGCGAGGCUGACGGGCACCCGGCCCCCAGCUGCCCGCCGCUGGGGCUGCGCUGCCACCGCUUUCCUCCUCCUCCUCCUCACCGUGCAAGCUGGUAAGGGCGGCGGUGGUGGGGGGAGGCACGGAGGGGUCCCUGGGUCCCCCAACUGUUUGUGCUGUGGCGGUGAUUUAGGGCUGAAUGCGGCUCUCCGGCAGACAUUGUGCCGUGGGGGGGGAUGGAUGUGGCUCCUGGGUGUGCUGUGCCCCUCGGGGAGGUCCGGCUGCCCAGCGCAGGGCUCGGCACUGCGGGCAUUGCGGGGCAAGGGACUGCGAUUGCCUCCUGAUCCCUGCUCAGCUGGGCUUAAGCCGGCACUGGGAUGGGUAAUCUGCGGGAUUGCCAGACGGCCAGAAGCAGAUUGGAGAGAUGGAGCCAAAUUCAUCAAGAUGAGCUGGGGAGGAAGUGGGAGGUGUGCCAAGCAUGUGGGAGGGCGAGGAGCAGGAGGAAGGCUCCCUGUACCCACAGGAACAGAGCUCCCUGCAACACUCUCCCUGUGGAUGGGAGGUGUGGGUUCAUGGCACCAGGAGGAGGCAGGGAUCACGCUGGGAGCAGGCACGGUGUGGUGCCAUCCUAGCAGCAUCCACUACUGCAGUACUGGGGCCACUGGUACCUCAACCUGCAGGGAUUCCCAAAACCUACCUCAUAUGCCCCCCCAUGUCGGCCCACUUGGGAGGGCUGGGGUUUGGAGGAGUUCUCAGGGCACUCUCUGA
rnacentral:lncRNA from 1 species